AACGAACGCUGGCGGCGUGCUUAACACAUGCAAGUCGAGCGAGAAAGGGAGCUUCGGCUCCUGAGUAAAGCGGCGCACGGGUGAGUAACACGUGGGUAACCUGCCUUUCAGUGGGGGAUAACAGUCCGAAAGGGCUGCUAAUACCGCAUUCGUCGACGAGCACUCAUGUGCUUGUGGAGAAAGAGGCGCAAGUCUCGCUGGAAGAUGGGGCCCCGCGGUCCAUUAGCUAGUUGGUGGGGUAAAGGCCUACCAAGGCUUCGAUGGAUAGCUGGUCUGAGAGGAUGAUCAGCCACACUGGAACUGAGACACGGUCCAGACUCCUACGGGAGGCAGCAGUGGGGAAUAUUGCGCAAUGGGCGAAAGCCUGACGCAGCAACGCGCGUGUGUGAUGAAGGCCUCGGGUUGUAAGCACUGUUCAGAGGGAAGAAA
rnacentral:rRNA from 1 species